UUCCCUCUGGUUCAGUCCAGUUCAGAAACACAGAGGAUGUUGUGAUUUCAGUGGAAGUGAGAUUCGUGACAGCUUCAGGCUCUGUGAGUGAGAGGGGUGACAGAGCGGUCAAAUGGAUAGAUAAAGAGUCAAUAGAUUCAUCCUCUGGAGGCCAUGAAUGUUUGCAAAAAAUGUCAUUGCAAAACAUUAAGUAAUUGAGGAGAUAUUUCAGUCUGGACCAAUGUAGUAGACGGACAGACAGAUCAACAUUGCUGUGCUUGAAGCCUAUACAUGAAACUAAAAGGAAUGCUCCUGAAAUCUGCACGACACCAAAGAGACGUUCCAUCAACAAUAUCCAGAGCUACAACACAGAUCCAGCAAGUAAAGUACAGCUCAGAGUUAAAAGAUGAAAUCACUCCAGAGAGGUUUCUCCACCAGAUUUCCUCAGCAGACUUCCUGACAGUAUGAACCACAUGUAAAGGCUUACUUACUUGUGUAUCGAGUUACAGAUGUACUCUGUCCUUCAGUAAUGUUGUCAUCUGCCACUGCAGUAACAGUUAUUGUAUACUGGACACCAGCAGUCAGGUUAGUAAUAUGUAUAUGUGUUUGAGUCACAUUGUCACUCUCCUUUACAUUUCCAUCAGUCCACUGUACUCUAUAGAAAGAUCU